AGAGAGAGAGAGAGAGAGAGAGAGAAAAGAAUGGCAGAAGAGAGAGAGAAAGAAAGAAAGAACGUCAGAAGAGAGAAGAAGAAUAAGAAGAAGAAGCUGCUGCUGCUGUUGCUCUCCGAUCAUGAGCAAGAGAGCCAUUGGGGAGGGGGAUAAGGAGGGGUGUUUUGGUCAAAAAACAGGUGUAUUAGGUCGGAUAAAUUAUGGAGAGCUCAAGGGGUGGCAAUAAUUUAACACCUCUCCCGCGGAUUGAGUUGUAUUCGCUAAGAAGGGGGACUGAACAAUAUAAGUGAAAAUGGGAUUGCCAAACCCAGCUAAAACUGUCCAUCACCCCUAAACCGGGUGUAUUCCACAAUACACCAACCCAAAGCUGCAUCCAAUCGGCCUAGUUUCCUCAAGUGUACGUAUGCCCAGGUUCGAGUCCCGUCCGUGUCCAGCAUUGAUUUUUCUUUUUUCCAGUCUAUUCCUUUUAAAUCUCUCUCUCUCUCUCUCUCUCUCUCUCUCUCUCUCUCUUCCUUCGUUCACUGCACCCACUAUUCUCUCUGCUUUUUAUUAUAUAUAUUUAUGAUUUGUUAAGAAGAGAAGGGUCAUUUGUUGUUGGUGUACAUUUUUUAUUUUGGAAUAUACUUCUUCUACAUCAACAAUUAUGGUGUAUUCCACUUACUAAAAUAAGUAUUUAUUUUUUAAAUUAAAGGUGAUAUAUUGUGAGAGAAUGACAUGUCUCAUAAAACAGAAAGUAAGUACUUAAAAAAUAAGAACCUUAACGGAACGUGGCAAACUCCUCCAAAAAAAAAGAAAA